GCGGACGUGGCGGAAUUGGCAGACGCGCCGGGUUUAGGUCCCGGUGCCCUCCGGGGCUUGGGGUUCGACUCCCCCGUCCGCACCA
rnacentral:tRNA from 1 species